UAAGCAUAUCAAUAAGCGGAGGAAAAGAAACUAACAAGGAUUCCCCUAGUAACGGCGAGUGAAGCGGGAAGAGCUCAAAUUUGUAAUCUGGCCCCUUCGGUGUCCGAGUUGUAAUCUCGAGAAGUGUUUUCCGCGCCAGACCGCAUACAAGUCUGUUGGAAUACAGCGUCAUAGUGGUGAGAACCCCGUACAUGAUGCGGAUGCCUGGUGCUCUGUGAUACACUUUCGAAGAGUCGAGUUGUUUGGGAAUGCAGCUCAAAUUGGGUGGUAAAUUCCAUCUAAAGCUAAAUAUUGGCGAGAGACCGAUAGCGAACAAGUACCGUGAGGGAAAGAUGAAAAGCACUUUGGAAAGAGAGUUAACAGUACGUGAAAUUGUUGGAAGGGAAACGCUUGAAGUCAGACUUGCUAUUUGGAGUUCAGCCGCAAGGUGUAUUCUUCAAUUUGCAGGCCAGCAUCAGUUUUUUGGGGUGAAAAAGGGUUUAGAGAAGGUAGCAGUUUCGGCUGUGUUAUAGCUCUUAACUGGAUUCAUCCUAGGGGACUGAGGAACGCAGUACGCUUAUUGCAAAGUCUUCGGGCUUUUCGUACUUAGGAUGCUGGUGGAAUGGCUUUAAACGACCCGUCUUGAAACACGGACCAAGGAGUCUAACAUGCUUGCGAGUAUUUGGGUGUUAAACCCGGAUGCGUAAUGAAAGUGAAUGUAGGUGGGAUCCGCAAGGUGCACCAUCGACCGAUCUGGAUUUUUUAAGAUGGAUUUGAGUAAGAGCAAUUAUGUUGGGACCCGAAAGAUGGUGAACUAUGCCUGAAUAGGGCGAAGCCAGAGGAAACUCUGGUGGAGGCUCGUAGCGGUUCUGACGUGCAAAUCGAUCGUCAAAUUUGGGUAUAGGGGCGAAAGACUAAUCGAACCAUCUAGUAGCUGGUUCCUGCCGAAGUU
rnacentral:rRNA from 1 species